AGGGGGCAGCUACACAUGCAGUCGAACGGUAACAGGAUGUGCUUGCACAUCGCUGACGAGUGGCGGACGGGUGAGUAAUGCUUAGGGAUCUGCCUCUGUGUGGGGGAUAACUAUUGGAAACGAUAGCUAAUACCGCAUAAUGUUUACGGACCAAAGGGGGCGUUUGCUCCCGCGCAGAGAGGAACCUAAGUGAGAUUAGCUAGUUGGUAAGGUAAUGGCUUACCAAGGCGACGAUCUCUAGCUGUUCUGAGAGGAAGAUCAGCCACACUGGGACUGAGACACGGCCCAGACUCCUACGGGAGGCAGCAGUGGGGAAUAUUGCACAAUGGGGGGAACCCUGAUGCAGCCAUGCCGCGUGUGUGAAGAAGGCCUUCGGGUUGUAAAGCACUUUCAGUUGUGAGGAAAGGUUAGUAGUUAAUACCUGCUAGCUGUGACGUUAGCAACAGAAGAAGCACCGGCUAACUCCGUGCCAGCAGCCGCGGUAAUACGGAGGGUGCGAGCGUUAAUCGGAAUUACUGGGCGUAAAGCGCACGCAGGCGGUUUGUUAAGCUAGAUGUGAAAGCCCCGAGCUCAACUUGGGAUGGUCAUUUAGAACUGGCAGACUAGAGUCUUGGAGAGGGGAGUGGAAUUUCUAGUGUAGCGGUGAAAUGCGUAGAUAUUAGAAGGAACAUCAGUGGCGAAGGCGACUCCCUGGCCAAAGACUGACGCUCAUGUGCGAAAGUGUGGGUAGCGAACAGGAUUAGAUACCCUGGUAGUCCACACCGUAAACGCUGUCUACUAGCUGUGUGUGAGUUUAACUCGUGAGUAGCGAAGCUAACGCGCUAAGUAGACCGCCUGGGGAGUACGGCCGCAAGGUUAAAACUCAAAUGAAUUGACGGGGGCCCGCACAAGCGGUGGAGCAUGUGGUUUAAUUCGAUGCAACGCGAAGAACCUUACCUACACUUGACAUUCAGCGAACUUAGCAGAGAUGCUUUGGUGCCUUCGGGAACGCUGGGACAGGUGCUGCAUGGCUGUCGUCAGCUCGUGUCGUGAGAUGUUGGUUAAGUCCCGCAACGAGCGCAACCCUUGUCCUUAGUUGCCAGCCUUUAGUUGGCACUCUAGAGACUGCCGGUGACAAACCGGAGAGGUGGGGACGACGUCAAGUCAUCA
rnacentral:rRNA from 1 species